GGAUGCAAGGGACCACCGUAUAGAGUACGAUCACAUUGGCGUUUUAUUUCUAGGCCCACACCAAGACUUAGUACGAACUCUAUGACCUUGAACCUACCUGUUAUUUUGUCUGGUUUGAGUUCUUUGAAGGAGUUGAAUUUAGAUGACUGCAACCUUAAUGAUGGGGCUAUUCCUAAUGAUAUUUGCAGCUUGUCCUCGUUGGAAAUUCUACGGCUUAGUGAUAACAAUUUCAUCACCCUACCUGCAACUCUUAGUCGACUUUCCAAGCUUACUAGUCUAGUACUGACUGACUGUAAAAGGCUUAAAUCAUUGCCCGAGCUACCAGCAAGCAUAAAAUUAUGGUUAGAUGGUUGUGGUUCACUGGAAGCAGUUGCAAAUUCGACUACAGCUUUCAAUUCACGGGUUGAUGGAUAUAUUUGUGCUUUUAACUGCUUCAAAUUGGCAGAGGGUAACGAUGCAGUAACAAUGCUGAAGACACGGCUGAAGGUUAGUACCUUUAUUUUUUUCUAUUAUUGCUCCCAUUGAUUUAUGGUGCUAGUUUAAGAAAAUGUGUCUUUGUUUGCAGCUAGUAGCAAAUGCAAGAACAGAAAGUUGUUACAUUGUCAUACCGGGAACUGAAAUCCCAAAAUGGUUUAGCAGUCAAACGGAUGACUCUUCAAAAUCUAUAAUAAAGAUGCAAUUGCCUCCCAAUUUUCUGAAUGAUACACAGUUCUUAGGAUUCGCUUUCAGCUGUAUUUUCUUCUCUGACUUCAAUAAUAAACCUCGAAGGGGGGAGCAUAUUUCGUAUACAUUUGUUAUCCAUGGUAGAAAUUUCUCCGGAGAAUUUAAAACAGUCUAUUUUCAUUUAGAAGGUAAAUCUACGAGAGUGACCAAAGACCACCUUUUGAUACAUUAUUUGCCUCGUAAUGGCAUUGAUUUGUUGUCCCUGGAGGAAUUAGAAUGCGAAGAAACUGAGGUUUCUGGAUCCAGCACAGAUAUGUUGAAGGAAAGAUUUGAAAUUGAGGUUGCAUUCGAAAUCUGGGGCAUCAAUUCCAUGGUGAAGAAAUGCGGGGCUCAAAUAGUGUAUGAGGAAGAUUUGGAAGAGAUGGACCAAACCAUACAUGAACAUAGCGGGUCAACUUCUUCAAAUUUUGAUGAUAUGCAUUCAAACAGUGGAUCAAACGGGAAUAAUAAUGGCGCUCUUGUCAAGAGAAAAUGGUUAAGCCUUCACUUAUUUACAGUGAUUGAUAUAUGCUGUUGACUCCUGUUUUAUAAGGCUAAUUUACUUCAUAUCUUCGUGCUUUUCCAGGUUGAAUGCGAAAGCAGGCGAUCAGCGGAACAAAACUCUAUUUUGUGGAAUCUGUCAAUCAUAUGUUGUAAACCAUCGACUUCUCUCCUAGCUUUACAUUGUUUUAUCCAUUUUCUUUCAUAUAGAUUUAUCAUUUUCGGACAACUUGUGUUUCAGUUUUGUUAUAGACGGAAAAUACAAUUGGUUAAACUCAUUUAAUUAGCUAAGUCAGUAGAGUUUUCUCUAUCGGCUUUGUUAUCGAAUUUUUCUGAACUUACUGACUAGUCAUUGAAAUAAAGAGAAAGCAGAGUGAGGAAGAAAAAACUAAGUUCGUUUUCUAAACGACUUGUGGUGCCAUACAUAAAAUUCUUGUUAAAUGUUGAUAUAUUAUCUUAAUUGCUCAGUUAAUAUUAAACAAAUUUAUAUAUAGUUUAAUAAUUUUAGUUAGAAUAUAAUUUUUCGAUAUAAACAUUAAUUCUUUUUUCUAUUUAGGUUGCUUAAUAAAUUUUAUUAUUUUUGAAUAAUGAAAUAAGCUUCAAAGUUAAUCAAGACUAUUCUAUAUUGGGUUUAAUUAAUAAUAGAAAUUUUAAAACAUUGGAUAAUAGCAUAGUCAUUCUAUCGUUGGAUAACAUUUUGAAAUGUGCGUUCAAGAAGAAAUUGAAGCGUAAUCAUUUCCUUCUUUUGAGUAACCAUUGUAUUCUAGGGACAACAUUUUCAGACCAGUUGUGCCACAGUAAAGAGACUAAAUUAAGAAAGCUUCUUGGAAGUGCCUUGCCUAUAGCCUUUCUCAUUACUUAUUCUUUUAGCAUUAUUCUACUUGGUUGUAUUAGUCCAUCCCAAAACCACUAUAUACAACAAUUUUAGGAUACAUAUACUUCAUGAAAAAUGAAGAGUCUAAGGUAACAUAUUGAGAAGUGUAUAGAACCACACUUCAAGGUACAAAACAGAAAAUUUGAAAUUAAAGUUUAAUUACGAGCCAACAAAUUUUUACAUUGCAAGCUAGAGAUUUAUAGUUUGAAUCUCAUUGAUAGAUUAAGCCUAACAUGUUCUUGACAGAUUGGUCAAGUUUGCAAGCCGAGUUUCUAUUUCUUAAAAGUUUUUAUUAUAUAAUUGUUACACUCUUAUGAACACCAACCCGAAAACCAGAUAAGGUUCGGGUCUCCUACCCGAGACCUGAAUAGGGCUCACUAGAUGAAUACGGGCAAGCCUUACAGUAUGAAGCUCACAAGGAGUGUUCGCAAGAGGAGCUCGCGGAUCCUGCUCACUCAUGAUAGGGAGUGUUCGCAAGGGGAGCUCGCGAUCUCAACUCGUCGAUGCCCAAGGAGUGUCCACUAGGCAACCCAAAAUAAUACACGUUUUCGGCAUGCAUAGAGUUUGCUAGGAGUCAAUUCUAUGAACAGAAGCUAUGUAUAUAAAUAUUCUAUUGUCCCCUCUAAUGAGACACAAUGAAAAUUUACUUAACAAUUGGUGCGGUGAGCGUGGACAAAUUUCCAACCGACAGAUUUCUUAAUGAAGAUGGUUCACCCAAAUAAGAAUUUCCCUUUCAAUCUUUCGUCGAGACAGGUUGGAGCCUCGAGUUCUAGCAGUUAACCUAAUGAAGUAGAUUUGUUUGCCGAUCAACUAGAGAACUUCGACAAUGCUGCCUAUCAGGGAGUUUUCGGUCCAUUGGACUUGAACAUAUCCACUGGUUGUGGGUUGCCACUCCUUCACAACCAAUAAGCAUCGUCACAUUAGUUCAUUGCUCUCAAUGAGCAAAUGAAGUUAAUGAAAGAUCAAAUGGUUGCACAAAAGGAACGGUUCGAGCAACAAUAGACUUUUCAGCAAGAGUUAUUGAAAUAGAAUAAAGAGUUAAGAAGGAAGGUAAACUCUGACACUUCUAAUUUUCAUGACAAUGUGAAUGCACAGGACAAAGCUCCAGGUAUGCAUACAAGAGAAUAGCAAAAUGAGAUGGAUGAGUUGCAACGGGACGUGAGAACGUUGCACCCUAAGUCUCAAGACAUGGAUUGACACCAUUUAAUGCAAUACAAUUAUUAUAGCUGAGAGCAUCGGAUUUUAAAAAGUGUAAAGCAUUUUCCACGACACUGAAAGGGAGUGCGAAAGAUUGGUACUUGUCCCUUUCUUAAGGCUCAGUUCAAAGUUUUUCUCAAUUGGGCCAGAUGCUCUUGGAAAGAUUCAGACUCCACAAGGCAACCAUGAGCACGCCUAGGGGUUAAUGUCAAUGAAACAGAGGGAAGGAGAGUCUCUCAAAGAUUAUGUGAAGCGGUUUCAUACAACGAAUUUGAACACGAAGAACUUGGAGGAUCAGUGGGCUAUCGAUGCUUUCAUCAUGGAGGUACAAAAUGAUCAUGUACAAUACUCUUUUACCGAUAACAGGAUAUAAAGUUUGGCAGAUCUGUACCAGCGAGCCUACAAGUUCGUAAAGGCAAAGGAGAUUAAAAAGGUAUCACAUAGUAUUGUUCAGAGGGAAGACAAGCAGUUUAGAAACUGAGAGGCAACUCACAGCAAACAGGGCCCUCCUAACCAGUCAUUGCGAGCAAGAGGUGAUAGCUAGUAGAGAAAUCAGAUGCAAUGUGAUUCUCCCAAGGCUCCCCAGAGAUCUCAACUAGAGCAUACUAGGAAGUACAUUCCCUAAGGUGUGUUUAAAGUUUACACUUAUUUGAAUGCUACCCAUUCUUACAUUCUGAACCAAGAAAAAAGUCUUGGUAUCCUGCCCAAGCCAUCUCCAAUGAGGCAUAGUACAAGGAGGUCCAACUCGAGAGACAGAUGUGCCUUCCACAAUGAUGUUGGACACAAAACUAAGGAUUGUUUCACUCUAAAGGAUGUAAUCGAAGAAGCAGUGAGAAAUGACGAGCUUGCCUAGUUUGUUGAUCAAGGUGUUUCCCAACAAGGUCAGACUUUAGAUGGUGAUCCCAAGGGUAAAUAGAAGGUUAAAGGUACCAUCCAUGUAAUUGUAGGAAUAGAUGAAAAGUGGGUAAGUUCUAGUGCAAAAAAGAAUGCGCAGAUGAGAAGUGUAAUGUCUAUUAACACCCCUAAAAGGUCAUGUCAACAGGGAAGAUAGAGCGUUAAAUUUGGUAAUAAUGAUGAGGAGUUGAUAUGUGACAAAGAGGGUAAUGAUCUGAUGGUUUUGUCUACAACAAUAGUAGGUUUUAAGUUUAAAAGGAUACUUGUAGACAGUGGUAGUGUAGUAGAAAUGUUAUCUUGGGAAGCGUAUCAGAAGACAAGGCUAAAGGAGCAAGCAUUGUCCAAAGCUAGCCCACUGUAUGGUUUUGCAAACUAUCCUGUUAAGGUGAAAGGCUCGACCACUUUACCUGUCACCUUGGGGGAUAACGAGCAUACAACUAUGGAGUAUGUCCAGUUCUUUGUUGUAGACCAUCCCAUGAAGGACAAUGCUAUCUUUGGGCUACCAAUAAUGAGGAUGAAAAAAUCGGUUACUACAACGUUCUACAUGAAUAUUAAGUUUUCAACAAGGAUGGUGGUUGGAUUUUUGAGAUUGGAUCAGUGAAUUACGAGGUAAUAACAUAUGUUGUUGGUUAAGCAAUUCCAAGAGCCAGUAGUUAGAGGAUAGAGUUCGCGGGGGACAGAGUUACCAAGUCAAGUCUUGGACUUGAAUAACGUGGAUGUGAGGGAUGAAGAAAGAAGUAAGAAGCAGUAGAGCAUACUGAGACUUUACAACUAUUCUGUGACAAUGAGGAAAGAAUUGUAAAGAUUUCAUCAGCGUUGGUAACAGAAGACAAGAGCAUAUUGAUUCGGUGUGUGAAGGAAAACUCAGACGUUUUUGCUUGGUUAGCGGCAGACAUGCCAGGGGUAGACCCUCAAGUGAUCGUCCACAAGCUAAAUGUGCUCCCAGGGUCAAAAUCGGUUAAGCGGAAAAAAGAAAGUUCAUUCUGCAAGUGGUAGAGACAAUAAAACAAGAGGUAGCUAAACUAUUAUCAGUAAGUUUUAUCAGGGAGGUUAAGUAUACAGAAUCAGUUUCAAAUGUAGUUAUGGUGAAAAAAGCAAAUGACAAAUGGAGAAUGUGUAUUGAUUUCACUAACCUUAAUAAGGCAUGCCUUAAGGACAGUUUCCCUCUACCUUCAAUUGACCGUUUGGUUGAUGUCUCUACAGGUCACAGAUUUAUAAGCUUUAUGGAUGCCUUCUCGGGCUAUAACCACAUAUUGUUGGAUCAGGAUGGCCAGGAAAAGAUAUCAUUUAUCAUUGAAGAAUGACUUUUCUUAAAACACCCUAUACCCGACCUGGUCGCCAAGCCUAGAUACGGGAUGCCACACCACUAUCCCAUCUUAUGUCCAUCGAAUAGGAAGCUAGAUUCAAGCAAACCAGUCAUCUUUUGUUAACUCGUAUAAGUUUUAAGACGUCUCAACAGUUAGUUAACAUUGUUACUUGCAAAUAAUAUGUUAAUCAAUCAUAAACUCUACCAAAGUUAUGUAUAAGAGCUAAUUAGCAAAAUUUCAUAGAAAUGUCCAUAGGUAUCUAUAUUGAUAUUCAAGUAUCGAUAUUUCCCUUUAUUGGUAUUGAUACCACUUGUAAAAAUGAUACCAAAUGAACUUAUUGUUUCUCGAUUAAAAAACCCAACUAUCGAAAACUAUCGGUACCACUGAACCAAGUAUCGAUAUUUAUUCCCUGAGUAUUGAUACUCAAGCAAAAGUAUCCAUACCUGUAAUACCCAAAAUUUUUUACAAUAAAAUAUUAUCUUUGAUAAAAUAAAACAAGGAAAUAAAUCGACAAAAAGGGGAAAUUUUGGAGUUAUGUCAACAUUGGGAAGUAUAUUAUGACAUAUUAGUUCAAGAAAGGAUUAAAUCGCAAAAGUGAGAAAAGUUUUAUUGCCCAAUAGUAAAUACUGAAAAAUUGAGGGGUUAAAGUGUAAAUAUAAAAAGUUGAAGGACUAGUGGUGUAAAUAGUUUAAGGGUGGAAUGAUCUAGAAAAUAAGGAAAAUGGAUGGAUUAGGACCAAAUUGAAAAAGGUAAAGAAUUUUAAGGGACUAAAUUGCAAUUUUACCAAAUUAAGUGAUGACUCAAGGAUGGAAUUUUAAGAGAUCAUAAAGGGUAAAAUGGUCAAUUAGAAGAGAGAGAAAUCUAGAAGAUAAUGAUGAUGUUGGAGAUAUUUUAUAUUAAUUAAUUAAAUAAAUAUUAGUUUAUUUGUAUUUUAAUUUAAUUUUUAAAUGAUAUUUUAUUAUUUUAUUAUUAUUUUAUUUAGUAUAUAUAUAAGAAAAGGAAGAUGAAGAAGCAUGCAACCCACCAUUUUUCCAUGCACCAACGUGAGAAAAAGAGAGAAAGAAAGAAAGUUUUGCUUUCUUUACAAUUUGGUCCUUCCACCAAAAAUUCACCAUUUUCAUCUAGAAAUCAAAAGAAUUUUCAUAGCCACCAGGAGAGAAAAUUGAUAAGGAGAAUAUUGGGAGCUAGAAUAUCAAGUUCGAUUCAAGAAAUAAAGGCUGGAGGAGAGAGAAAAUCAAGUUAGAGAUUGAAAUCAAUAGAACAAGGUAAGAACAUUAAGAUUUCAAUAUAUUUUUGAGCUUGAUAUUAUUGAAAAAGUAGGGAAUUUAUGUUAAUGUAGGGAUUUAUUAUAUAAGGUUCUAUAUUCUUGAUAUGUUAGUGAAGGGAAACAAGAGGAAUUGAUAGAAAAUAUUGUAGAGAAAAGAAAGGAGGGUGUUAUAAAUUUGAUUAUUAACAUUUUGCACUAAAACAGUUUUGGACAGCUGCAGUAGGUUAAUUUUGAAAAAUCACCAUAAAUUGUGGAAAUUGAAUUAUAGAGUGAAUAAGAUAUUAAAUGAAAUUUUAAUGAGUCUAUUUCUACAUAAAAUAAACAGAGCAAGUAAAAGAGUUAUAUAUUUUGAGAUAUUUGACUUUUAGUUAGGAAGGGUCAGAUUGAUUUUGGAAUCCCCUGUUCUAACUUUUAUAAAUCAUUAUAAAUUGUAAAAAAUAAUUAUAAUUUUUAAUUUAUAUUAUUAAAUUCCUUAAUGAGUCUAUUUUCAAGAGAAAUAAACAAAACUACCAUCAGAAUUUUGUACUAAGAGAUAUUUGAUUUUUAGUGAAGAGAGGUCAGAAAUGGCGGGCAGUGAAACAAGGGAAUCUUUAAAGAAUAAACUGUACCAAUUGGCUAAACUAAAAAUUCUGAAAAUUUCAUGGUAAAUAUAUAUAUGAGUCUAGUUUUAGGGAAAUUAACAGUGCAUAAUUUUAAAUUCUGUAGCUCCAGAUAAAAAUAAUUUAGUGAUACUGACUCGGAUAGAUAGCUUUGAAUAUACUUAAGGGUGAAUAAUGAAACUUUAGAAAAUGUUAUUUCUAAGAGUGUUAAGUACAUUAAGGAUGUGGAAUGGAGUGGAGAAGGAGGAAAAAUAUAUAUGAAUAUUCUGAUAAUAUGAUUUUAUUUUAAAAAUAGCUAAUUUACAUAUUUUAGGUUUAGGGACUAAAUUGAAUAAAAGUAAAAUUGUUAGGGUAAUUUUGUAAAAAUGGAAAAAAUGACGAAAUUUCAAGAAUUGAAUAGUUUUAUUGUCUAAAUUAAUAAAUUGAAUGAAAUUAUUAAUUUAGAUCAAGAUCUCGUGGAAAGUCGAGGGAAAUGCAAAAUUUCCAAAAUGCCCCUAUAUCAUGGUAUUUAUGCAAUUUAGCCUAGUAAGUUUGUAUUACUGUAAUUCAAAUCUAAUUAUUAUUAAUUAUUGUGUUUUAAUUGAAAUACAUGGUAAUUAAAUGGAAAUUGCUAGUGAUAUGAUUUGAAUUGUGAGCAUGAGAAAUUGUGAACUGAAUGAAAUGGAAAUGAAGCAUUGAAUUGCAUGGGCAUGUAUCGGGUCUCGUAGGCCUAUUUAUUAUGAAUAUAAUAUUUUAAGGAUAUAUUGUGAAGAAUUAUAAAAGCAUGUUAAAAAAAAUUUUGAAAGUUUUAAUUUAGAUGAAAUUUUAUAACUAAGUUAAAUACAUUUACAAGUGUAUGUGUUCUAGUAAUGCCUCAUAACCUAUUCCGGCAUCGAAUACGGGUAAGGGGUGUUACAAUACCAAAUCUCUAUUUUGUUUCCUGUACGUUUUAAUUCACAUAGGUAUCAUGUAACACCUCUAACCCGUAUCCGUCGCUAAAACAGGGUUACGAAGCAUUACCGAAAUAUACAGAUCAAGUAAAUAGAUAUUUUAUUUUAUACAGUAUUCAUGUCAAAAAUCAAACAUAAAGUCCCUUAUAUGAACCUUCGAGGUCCAAAACAUGCAUUAGAAAUGAGUCGGGACUAAACUAGGUACUCAGAGAAUUUUUCGCAAAAUUUAAAAAAAAAUUCUUAGGUGCAAGGGUCACACAGCCAAGAGACACACCCGUGUCUCAGGCCGUGUAACUCUCUAACUUGGGUCACACGACCAAGACACACGCCCGUGUGCUAGGCCUUGUGUAAAUACCUGGGCAUUCUGUUUUAAAAUUUUAAAGAUGUAGGGGACACACGAGCAGGUCACACGCCCAUGUACUAGGCCGUGUGUCACACACGGCUGAGAUACACACCCGUGUCUCUGCCUGUGUGGACGAAAAUAGGCUAUUUUCUAAGCCAUAUUUAUCACCCUAUUUUAUCAUCCUCUUACACCAACACUUUAACACAUUCACAAGCUAUUAUAUGUCAUUUAACCCAACUCAAAAUUAAGUCCUAUACAUGAUAUAAUACCUCAUAUAAUCAAGUAUACACACUCACUUAAAUUACGAAGUACACAUAUAUGCAUAACUUAUCAAAUAUGCGAACUUAAUUCAAUCAUUAAUAUGCCAAUAUAAUUUCUAUCAAUCAACCAUUUCAACCACAUACCAAACAUAUCCAUCACAAGCCAUUCCAAUGGCUAGUUACAAUUAAAGCAUUUAUAUGCCGAUAUUGACCAAUUAACCUAUACAUGCCAUUAUAACCAUAAUUAAUUUACCAUAUAUAUUUACCAAAAUGGGCUGAUAGAUAGUGUGAGUGAUCUCUGUCAAGCUUUCAAUCCAACGUAUAAAACAGGGGAAAAUAAAACAGAGUAAGCAUGAAAUGCUUAGUAAGUUCGUAUAACAUGGUAAUUAACUUACCAUUUAUUUAAAUUCAAUAUAAACAUACAAGGCACAGUCAAUCAACUUGAUCACGAGCCCUAACACAUAUCUUCAUUACCCUUGUUAGUCAUAUAAUUCAUAUAAAUAUCAAGAAACAUGUAUGGGCUCAACAAUAAUUAGAUUUCCAUGUACAUAUACUUUCCACAUCAUGUAUUUAUAUAACAUAUAAAAAUCAUAUCCUUGGAUUUCAAGUACAUUUUCAUAAUAAUUCGUCUUGAGUUCAGAUUAUUUCAUAUCGAAACUUUGCCCAUUAAAUCAUUUGAAAUGUCAGUGUCACAUGGGUAAUACACUCAAGGUGUACAAAUCUAUAAUUAUGGAUGAACAUAUUCAUCAAACAAAUUCCAUGUUCAUAUAUUAUCAUCUCGUAUUUCCAUAUAUAUUGUAUCAUCAUUUUCAUGCAUUUCAGGUAGAUACGUGUAUUAAUUCAUUUCAUGUUCAUAUUUUCUCAUGUCAGGAUUUUGACUUUUGAAUCAUUGAAAACAUCGAUGGAUACACAGGUAGUACACUCGAAGUGUACAAAUUAGAAAUCUGUCAAUUCAUAUUCAGAAGUGCUCUUUAAAGCACAUAAUCGGGAAAUCCUCUCUUAAGCCAUAUAACAGGAAGCUCACAAAGAGCCAUUAAUCGGGAAGCUCACAAAAAGCCUAUCAGGAAGCUUAUCCGGGCUAUAUAAUAGGAAGCUCAUAAGAGCCAUAAUUAGGAAGUUUACAAAGAACUUUUAAUCAGAAAGCUCACAAAGAGUAUUUAAUUAGGAGCUCUAAAUAGCCAUAUAUCAGGAAGUUUAAGUGAGUCAUAUCAGGACGCUCACAAAGAGCUACGUUUGUGUCUGCAAUAUAUAUAGGAUCACAACCGAUCAUAUAACAGGACGUUCACAAAAAGCUACAGUAGUCCGCAACACAUGUAAGAUCACUACAGAUCAAGAUGCUUGCAAGAACCAUAUAAUGAGAAGCUCGAGAGAGCUUAUAACAGGAUGCUCGUAGGAGCUAUGGUGUGUCCGCAACACAUGCAGGACCACAACCAAUCAAGAAAUCCUAUAUCCAUCGAUUUCCAUUAUUCAAACGGGAUUUAAUAUUUAUCGGGCUUUGUCGGAUAUGUAACCAAUUUCAUAUAUUUGGCAUUUAUACAAUUCACAUACACAACAUUUAAUUCAAGCAUAUAAAUAUACAAAAUUUAGUUACGCGAACUUACCUUGACAAAUGUUCGUGUAUGUAAAAUCUACUAACCCGACAUUUUCUCUUUUCCUCGUUCUAACUCCGAAUUUGGUCUAUCCGAAUCUAUAUGAAUGAAUUUAACAUUAAUUCAUGUUCAUUUCAAUUCAAUUCACAUCUUAGGCAAAAUUAUCAUUUUGCCCCUAAACUUUUAAUUAAUGAUAAUUUUGUCCCUAAGCUCGAAAAAUGAAAUUUAUGCAAUUUAAUCUUUAUUCCAAGUCUAGCCAAUUUUUACAUGUAAAAUUUAUAGCCCAUGUAUUUAAUAAAAUCCAAAAUUUUUCCAUGAAUUUUACAACUUUUCAAUUUAGUCCCUAAAUCAUAAUUUCAUCAAAAUCCCCUUUGCAAAAGUUGUUUAUCUACUAAUAACCUUUCAUUUUCUACCAUAAAACUUCAUAAUUCAUCUAUGUUCAUCCAUGGAAAAACCCUAGUACCUUGAUAACUUUGCAAAUUAAGCUAUUACGAUCUCGAAAAUAUAAAAAUCAUUAAAAAUGGGAAAGAAUACUUACCUAAUCAAGCAAAAUAAAUUGGCUUGAGCUUAGGUUUCCAUGGCUAGGGUUUCCAUGCUUUUAAUUUGGGAAAGAUGAUAUAAAUGAUGAUAUUUUAAUUUUUUAUCAUUUAUCAUCUUUUAUUAUUUCAUUUUCCAAUUUCAUCCCUUUCUUUAUUUUAUUUUCCAUGGAUGAAUCAUCAUCCUUAACCACUAAGUAUUUUUAAUGGUCUAUUUGCCAUAUAAGGACCUCAAAUUUUGAAUUCCAUAGCUAUUUAAUCCUUUUAGCUAUUAGAACUCAACUUUUGCACUUUGUGCAAUUGGUCCUUUAUCAAAUUAAACAUGUAAUCGGUAAAAUUUCUUUACAAAAUUUUUAUACGACAUUACUAUCAUACUAUAGACCAUAAAAUAAUAUAAAAAUAAUUUUUCUUCCAAAACCGAAUUUGUGGUCCUGAAACCACUUUCCGAUUUUACCGAAAACUGGCUGUUACAUAUCAUAUUUCAAAGUUAUUUCCACUUAUUCUACUUUGGUGAAGUAGUUCCUUAUGAAACAUAUUUCGCAAAACAUCUCUCAUAAUGCAAUUUAUUCUUAACAAAAAAUUCUUUUUGGACGAGAUUUAUUCCCGAAUUAAGGUUAUUUUGAUUUGUUCCAAACGUGAGUUGUUCUCAACAUGAAAAUUACUUUGGAUAAGAGUUGUUCCAUAGUGAUACUUUUCUUUGAAGAACUUGUUCUAAUAAUGGUCCUGGUUCUAAAUAGAAAUUGUUUCAAAUAACUAUUGUUUUGAGCAUAAUUAUUCUUGAAAUGCAAUUAUAUAAAUGAUACUUAUUCUGUAACACCCUUAACCCGAAUUUGUCACUGGAAUAAGGUUACGGAGCAUUAUCGAAGUUUACAAAUUAAUUAUCAGACAUUUCAUUUCAUCUAGCAUUCAUAUUAGAAACCAAUCAAAAUCAUACAUAUUGUACCUUAAACGAGCCAUCGAGGCCCAAAUUACAUAUUAGAAACAAAUAGGGACUAAAUCAAAGGCACAGAAAAUUUUUCAAAAAUAUUUAAAAUUUUCAACACUGCAAGGGUCACACGGCCGUGUCUUAGCCCGUGUCCGAGUCCAUGUGAGUAUACUGACUUGGGUCACACGGCCAAGUCACACACCCGUGAGCUAGGCCGUGUGAGCAUUCUGUUUUGUGCAAAUAUAAGAUACAGGGGACACACAGCUGUGUCACAUGGCUGUAUGUCAAGCACGGUUGAGACACACACUCGUGUCUCUGCCCGUGUGGAUGAAAAUUGAUCAUUUUACAAGCCAUAUUUCUCACCCAAUUCUAUGUUAAUCUAUACAUGCCAUUAUAACCAAAAUCAAAACAUUUGAAAGUACCGAUAGAACCAAUGGAUAGUGUGAUACAACUCCGACAAGCUUCCAACUUAAUUGAGCUUCCGAUAAUCUGAAAAGUAAAGGAAAACACAUACAUAAGAACUGAAUGAUUAGUAAGCUCAUAUAACUUUAAUCAUAAUAUUUCUUUUCAAAUAUGAAAUUUAAACAUAUCAAGAAUAAUCCAAUAUUGAUACCACAAUACUUAUAACGUUAUAUUUAAUAGCUCACUAAGUGAAUAAAUCUACAAUAUCACUAUAUAUAUAUAUAUAUAUAUAUAUAUAUAUAUAUAUAUUAUUCCUAACAUAGUAGGAAUUUUAAACAACUCUUCCAAAAUUUCUUUAUUUUCAUUUGUGUUUCUUUACCUUCCACACUUAUUCCAUAUGUACAACACACCAGUUAUAAGCAUAUCAUUCAACCAUAGCCACAAGCUAGUGCAUUUAAACAUAGACCUUUUUUGAAUUGAUCACAUGAUAACUCAUUUAAUAAGAAAUUGCAUAACCUAAACCUUACCACUCUUUCAUGAGCACAAGCAUAUUUCCAUUUAAGCACUUACCAUUUCAAUGCACCUUAUAAUUAAACAUAUUACCCUUAUUUUUAAAAAAAAAUUUUGAAUAAUAACAAAUGUAAUAUUUAAAACGAUAUGUAUUUAUCUUAUUUGGGGUAUAAUAUAAAGACCGCCAAUUAUAUUUAAGCAUAAUGCAUGAUGUAGUGAUGAUGACUAUAUGGAUAGAAUAUUGGAAUGAUAAAAUAUAAAUAAAUAAAGGUAUACUUUAAUAAUAAUAAAAUAAUCAUUAAACAAAUAGAUAAAGUAACUUAAAAUAAAAUAAACAAAAAAUACAUGAUUGAAAAGACACGACUUAAAAAUGCCAAAAAUAAUAAAAGGAAUAAUAAAAUAACAGAAAAAAUAAAAUAAAAUAAUAAUGAGAUAAUAAUGACAAUAUAACAAUAUGUACAAAUAUGAACAAUAUGAAUUUUAAAAUAAAAAGCAAGGCAAUAAUAAUAAAUAAAUAAAUAAAUAAAAUCCAAUGACUGAAAUUAAAUAAAUAAAGGAUUUAAUUGAAAUUUAAAUGAAACUAGGGGUAUAAAUUGCAAAUAAUAAAAUUAGGUGAAUAAGGAUUAAAAUGUAACGCGCUAAAAAGGAUAGGGACUAAAAAGGAAAAUAUCAUUUGUCCUUAUGCGCAUCGUUUCUUAGGUGGACCAAAAUAAAAAAGAAAUGAAAUUUUAUGGAAAAAUUUGUAAAUAUAUAAAAAUAGAUAGGACGAGAUUGAAAAAUAAAUAAAAGGCGGAAGGGUCGAGACUGCAAAUAACCCAUUGGUCACGAAAACACGCAGAUCUUAGCUACUUUCGGGUCGAGUCUCAGGUUUGAGUCAAAACGAUGUCAUUUUGACGUCUGCAAAUCGGCCCAAAAUGGUGUCGUUUUAUACCAUAUAUUUAAGCCAACAAUCUUCCAAAAAAAUUUCAUUUCUGCCUUUAAAAUUAAAGGGCCUAUUUUGGCCGUUUCAUUUCCCUCGGCCUCGAUCUGAGGCUAAAAUACCCAAGCAACCCACCAAAAUUCAGAAAAAGAAAGAAAAAAACAAAGGGACCUUCCGGUUCCUAGUCACUCCCGACGAGGUUUUCAGCCACCUUCUAGACCAGAGAAAUCUCUGGCGACGGCGGUUAAGGUAAAACCUUUCGUAUUUUUUUAUAUAUAUCUCUCUAUAUAAAUACAAUAUGUUUUAAAAGAAAAUAAAUAUGCCAAGGAGAAACAAAUACCUUUCUUAAAAACUAUUAUGAGUUUUUUAUAUUUCUUCUGAUUGACUUUUUUUUUUUUUUGCGUAUAUAUCUCUGUAAAAAUUACAAACUGGGGUAUUGGCCUUUAUAGCCAUGAGUUACAUCAGAUUGCUAUUUUGUACUAUUCAUUUCCACUGUUUUUGUUACUAUUUUUGUUGGUUCUUUUGUUGUUUCUGUCUUCUCUCUUUGUCCUUUUCUGCAGGCAUCGGCGUGGUCAACGGAGGGCAAUGAGACGCGCACCUUCGCCAUUUUGGUGCAACGGUGGCAGCAAGGGUGCGUCAUGGCCUCAAGACGAGGCACCUCGGCGGCGUGCGAGUGAAAGGGAGGAGCGGCAAAGAGGGACUUAGGGUUUUUUGGUUUACCAGAAACGUUUAAGUCUUUCGGGCCAUUGGGCCUCUUUUUCAUUUGGGCCUGUAAAUUUGGACUGUUAUUAUUUUUCUUUUUGGUUUGGUUUAUUUUUAUUCGGGCCAGAUAAAAUUGGCCUGUUACAAUUACGUUUAUUUUCUUUAAAUUAAGAGUUAUUUUUUAAUUUAAUUUAAUGUAUUAUUUAUUUUAUUAUUUUCCACAUGUAAUUAUCUUAUUGUAUUAUCUAAGUAAUAAAUUACAUCUCAUUAAAAAUGUUUCACAUAUAAAAUUCCACAUCAUCUCCAUUAACUUUUUUAAUGGUACUUUCAUUAAAUCUAUUAAAAAAUACAGAUUAAAAAAAAAAGAACAAAGGUUGAUGACUCAAAAAUGCAAUUAGAGCCAUUUUGACAAAACAUGGAAACGUUAGUAGCUAAAUUUGUCAUUAAGCCUAAAAAAUUAAUAAACGUUCUUUAUAGGAUAUUUGAAAAGAAAAUUAGAUAAAAAGGCACAUAAAUAUUUAGUCUUAUUUAUAGGAUUUUUAAAAAAAAAUUUACUAAAAAUGCAUAGGAAAAUAACUCCUAUUUUUAUUGUAUCAGAAUAAUUUUUUCUUAUUUACACUAAAGUAAUUAAGUAUAAAAUUAAAAAUUAAUUAUUGUUCUAAGAGAUUACAAGUACAAUUACAAUUAUAAACUUAAAAAAUAGGUUUAUUUCUAUCGAAUUCGAAUUUAAAUAUUUGAAUUCAAAUCCUACCCAUAUUUUAAAUAGAUUUAAUUUUUCUAGGAGUUUUUAAAUUUUGAUGGACAACUUAAUCCUUCAAUCGAUCUAAAAUAAAAUGAUAAAGCUUAAAAGGAUUUGCUUUUUGGAAUAUAUUUUUUUAAAAUUUAAGAAUAAAUUUACAUUGAAAAAGAAGGGUUGAUGUGUAAUGAAAAAAAAAACAUCGCAUAAUAUUAUUGGAAGGACUAUAUCGUAUACUAUAAGAAGAGUUUACCGAAUAAUUUCUUUAAUUGGAAGAGAUUACAUUACAUUAUCAAAGUUUGAGCAUCAAUUUUUUAGUUCUAAUUGCUAAAAAAAACAUUAUCUGUACUUAUUAUAAAAAUUUUAAUAAACCUUAUGUUACGGGUUAAUCAGAUACUAACUCGGUUGAAAAAAAAUUAAUACAUUUUUUUAAAUGACUAUUAUGAUGAUUCUUCUGUCCUUUUAAAAUUAAGGGACCGCAAAGGGUUCGGAUUUUUUUUCUGGUUGGGCCUUCAAACAGAGAUUGCUUACUCAAAUAGAGCGACUAAGGCGUGGUGUGGGAAGUGAAGCAAGGUGUCUAAUCUGUGGCCAUGAAACAGAGGAUGUUCUUCAUGCUAUAAGGGAUUGUGAUGCAGCGAAACAGGUAUGGUUCUGCAUCGUCCCUCCCCAUAACCUAACCUUUUUCUUUUCAAGUAAUUUACCGGAGUCGCUUGAAUGCAAUUUGGAUAAUCGACUCAAUUUAACCUGGAGGAAUGUCAAUUGGCCGUGCUUCUUUGGAAGAACAAGAAUAUAUACACCUUUAACGGGGUCCAGUGCACAUAGUUGGGCCAACCAAUACAUUUCAUCUUGCAAGGAAGGAACCCCAAUGAGAUUGAGCUCGAGAGAAUAGACAGUAAAAACAAGAAGAUUGAGUCGAUUAAGAUCCGAUGGAGCCAUUAAAUUUAACACAGGUUAUGCUGCAACAGGUGGUGUAUUGAGAGUCACAGUGGCAAAUGCUUACUCGGGUUCAAUUGCAUAUUAGGUAAAUGUUCUAUUUUUGAAGCUGAAUUGUAGGGCAUCCUCAAUGGUGUGAUGUUGACACAAGGCAGAAUACAUGAUAGAAUUGUGAUACAAUCAGACAAUAUGGAAGUUACCGGAGCUAUCAAUGAGUCCUUGAGGGGAUCAAAUUCUGCAUUAAUCAGGCAUAACUUACCGCUUUUGCAAAAUGAGGAAAAUUUGUUGAUUGAAUAUGUUCCUAGAGACGAAAACAGAGAAACUGAUAGUAUUACCAAGCUGGCCUUUAGCAGGGAGGAGGGUCUACAGUUAUAUGAAACUUCUCCUCUUGAAACUUCUAGUAUUUCAUAAUAGUUUCCAUUUUUUUCACCAAAAAAAAAAGAAAUAAAAACCAUAUAUCAAAAAAUCGAACUUAGAUAAAAUUUAUAUACAAUUUUUUUUUUCAGAAAUGUUUUUUCUUAUAACAUAACCUAUUAAUUAUUUUAAUAACACCAAACAUUAUUGCUAACAUAACAUUACAACAUUAUAGCAUUCGCCAAAAACUUAAAUGAGAAAUUAGGAAGAGUAAUCGAGCUCGAGUUCUUUGUUGCUCAGACUCGAUAAAAUGAGAGCUAUAUUUGUGUCGACAGGGAAUAUGUGUUGGAUUUGUCGGAUUCUUAUAAUUGAGUAAGAAAAGAAAAAGGAAAAAUAAAAAGAAGAUGGAAAAGAAAGAAACAGGCAAACAAAAUCAAAUGAAAAUCGAGAAAAUAAAGUUGAAUGUGUCCAAAACAAGUAGAAUGCUUUAUCUUUUCAACGUCAAUUUCAUGUGAAUUACUAUUCCUUCAAUUUGGUUUGUCUUUUGCAAUCAUUACAAUAUUUGAUUACAAUGUACUCUAAGGUGAUAAUCAAGUUUCUUGUAGAUUAAUCAAUAAUCUCUAGUAGAAGAGCCUAGUUACUACUACUCACUCUCCAUCAACUUUCCUCCAAAUAUAGCACUAAUGUUUGUUUUGAGAAACUACCUCUCUUCUUUUGUUCUCAGUUUGUUUAGAGGUGUGUUAAUUGGCCAGCCUUUCUGCGACAAAAAUGAAUCUUGAAAAUCUCCGAAGUACCAAGUAAAUCCCAUCGAUUUCUUCAACUUAGCUCCUAAGUUCCAAUGGUUAGAUUCGAUAAUGAGACAUCCUCCUCUUCCUCCUCCUCCUCCUCCUCCUCCUCCUCCUCAUCAUCAUCAUCAUCAUUGGAAUCAUCUUCUUCAGUUUCUCGAGGGAAAUAUGAUGUUUUCUUGAGUUUCAGAGGUGAGGAUACCCGCAGGAAUUUCACGGAUCAUCUUUAUGCUGCAUUCAAAAGGAGAGGAAUCACCACUUUUAGGGAUGACGAAAAGCUCAAGACAGGUGAACCCAUAGCACCUGAGCUCUUCAAAGCAAUUCAUGAGUCAUGGUGCUCUGUAAUCGUUUUGUCGGAAGGGUAUUGUUUUUCGAGUUGGUGCCUAGAAGAGCUUUCCGAGAUUAUUCAACAGAAAAACGACAAGGGACAUAAUGUCUUCCCCAUUUUCUAUUAUGUGGAUCCAUCUGAUUUGAGAAAACAAACCGGAAAAGUUCUAGAAGCUUUUAUUAAGCAUGAAAAUAAUUUCCAGGACAACAAAGAGAAGACACAAAGGUGGCGAUCUGCUUUAACUCAAGUAGCUAACAUCAAAGGAUGGCACUUGAGUAACAGGUAACUAUCAUAUUCUUUCACUUCAAUAAUAUCUUACCAGCAUCAAGAUUGAAAUUUGAGGCAUUAGCUAAGGACUGUGCCCUUAAUGUUUCACUAAGCUAUUUCCUUUGCUUUGUAUUUGAAGGCAUGAAUCAGAACUUAUUGGAGAAAUCAUUGAAAAGGUAUCAACAAAAUUAUGUCAAACAUUUGCAAGUGCUCCUAAUGACAUGAUUGGAAUUGAAUCACGUUUGGAAGAGUUAAAUUGCAAAAUAGGCAUAGGGGAGGAAGAUGAUAGUGUUCGGAUUAUAGGGAUUUGUGGUAUGGGCGGGUUAGGUAAAACAACUCUUGCAAGAUCUGUUUAUACCCAAAUUUCAAGUCAUUUUGAAGGCCAAAGCUUUCUGGCCGAUGUUCGUGAAGUUGCGGAGAAACAUGGACUUGUUUGUUUGCAGAAACAACUUCUUUCCCAAAUUUUUCCAGAGGAAAGUUUCAACUUUUUUAAUGUUCAUGAUGGGAAUGACAUCAUACGUCAUAUGUUAUCUCAUAAAAGGAUUUUUGUUGUUAUUGAUGAUGUCGAUAACAUACAACACUUAAAACGUUUAUUAGGCAAGCGAGCUUGGUUUGGUUUAGGAAGCAGGAUCAUCAUAACAACAAGAGACGAGCAUCUGCUGCAAAUCUACGGAGUGGAUGAUGUGUAUAAUCCGACGAAAUUGAAUGCCAAGGAAGCACUUCGCCUUUUCAGUUUGAAAGCUUUCAAAAGUGAAACACCUGCAAUGGAAUUUUUUGAGCUUUCUAAACGUGUAGUGGAAUAUGCCAAUGGCCUUCCGUUAGCUCUUGAAGUUUUUGGUUCUUUUCUGUCUGGCAGAUCAGAUGAAGCUCAAUGGAGAAGUGCUAUUGAAAGACUUAAAAAGAAGUCCAACAAAGAAAUUCUAGACAGGCUUCAAAUAAGCUUUGAUGGGUUAGGACAAUCGGAGAAAGAUAUAUUUUUAGAUAUUGCAUGCUUCUUCAAAGGAGAAGACAAAGAUAUGGUAACCAAAAUUCUCGAUGGUUGUGGCUUUUUCCCGGAUAUUGGAAUAGAUGUUCUCAUCAAGAAAUCUCUUGUAACAAUCGAUGAAGACAACAAAUUGUCGAUGCACGACUUGUUACAAGAGAUGGGAAGGAAAAUUGUUUACCAAGAAUCUCCUAAUGAACCUGGAAAACGUAGUAGAUUGUGGGACGAAAAGGAUACGAAUUAUGUGCUAAUAGAAAACACUGUAAGCCUUUAGCACUAUUAACUGUUACUCCACCCUUGAAUAUUUGUUGAUUCAUACGAUACUAGGAUGCAAGUCUAGCUUUGAACUAUUUUUGGACGUGCAUUGCACUGUUAAGUCAUUAAAUUUACCGUAUUAAUUAGUUGAUUGCUCUGAUUUUCAGGCAACGGAAGCUGUUCAAGGUCUAGUCAUCGAUUCUAUCAGGUGUAAAUUCAUACACCUAUCUGUGUAUAUGUAGUUGAUUACUCUGUAUAUUGUAAAGCUCAUUCCUCUUUUUCCUUGGUGGUUAUCAGGAAACAGAACACUUGGACUUUGAGUGCUGAUGCCUUUUUGACGAUCAACAGGCUAAGACUGCUCAGAGUCUUCAAUGUUCCGAAUUCUCGUGGUUUCAAAUAUCUUAGUAACGAGUUAAGGCUUUUAGAAUGGCAUGGAUAUCCUUUCAAAUCCUUCCCUUCAAGCUUCCAACCAGAGAACCUUGUUGCACUUCUUCUGCCUUAUAGCCGCAUUGAAAAGUUGUGGAAGCCAAACAUGGUAAGAGUUACUUUGUUUGAUCAAUUAAUUUUGACCAAGAUAACAUAAACACAAAAUACCGAAAAUAAAAUGGCAUUUCAUCUUUGGUUUUCUUUUUCAUUUUUUUCUUUUACAGCCUUUAUAUAAGUUAAAAUUGGUCGACCUCAAAGGCUCUAAAAACCUUGUGAAAACACCAGACUUCAGUAUGGCCCCAAAUCUUGAAAGUUUGAUUCUGGAAGGUACUGGAAUGGUAGAUUUUGAUCCUACCGUCAAGUUUCUAAGGAGGCUGAAGCUUUUGAAUUUAAGAAACUGCAAGAGACUUAGGAUUUUCCCAUCCAAAAUUGGGAAUGGAUCUCUAGAAACAUUAAUUCUUUCAGGUUGCUCAAAUAUAGAAAGGAUUCCAGAGAUUGUGGGGGAAAUGGAAUGUCUGAAAGAGCUUUGUUUGGAUGGGACUGGUAUUAAAGAACUUCCCUCUUCAAUUGGACAUCUCAGGCGUCUUAUGUUGCUAAAUUUGAAAGAUUGCAGUAAGCUUGAGAGUCUCCCAAGCAGCAUAGGUGGGUGUGAAUUCCUUAAAACUCUUAUUCUCUCAGGCUGCUCUAAACUUAAAAAUUUUCCAGAGAGUUUGCAACAACUAGAAUCUUUGGAAGAGCUUAACCUAAGUGAGACUGCCAUAACGACACCACCAUCCUUCAUUUUUCAUAUGAAAAAUCUCAAGUUUCUUUCUCUACAAGGAUGCAAGGGACCACCAUAUAGAGUACGAUCACGUUGGCGUUUUAUUUCUAGGCCCACACAAAGACUUAGUUCGAACUCUAUGACCUUGACGCUACCUGCUAUUUUGUCUGGUUUGAGUUCUUUGAAGGAGCUGAAUUUAGAUGACUGCAACCUUUAUGAUGGGGCUAUUCCUGAUGACAUUAUCAGGUUGUCCUCAUUAGAAGCACUACGACUUUCUGAUAACAAUUUCAG
rnacentral:lncRNA from 1 species